GGGCGGCUCCGGGACCCUCUGGCGGCUUGAUGCGACCGCGAUGUCGGAGCCCUUCA
rnacentral:ncRNA from 1 species